rnacentral:rRNA from 1 species
CUACGGGGGGCUGCAGUGGGGAAUAUUGGACAAUGGGCGCAAGCCUGAUCCAGCCAUGCCGCGUGUGUGAAGAAGGCCUUCGGGUUGUAAAGCACUUUUGUUGGGAAAGAAAAGCGGCCGGUUAAUACCCGGUCGUGUUGACGGUACCCAAAGAAUAAGCACCGGCUAACUUCGUGCCAGCAGCCGCGGUAAUACGAAGGGUGCAAGCGUUACUCGGAAUUACUGGGCGUAAAGCGUGCGUAGGUGGUUUGUUAAGUCAGAUGUGAAAGCCCCGGGCUCAACUUGGGAAUUGCAUUUGAUACUGGCAGACUAGAGUGCGGUAGAGGAGAGUGGAAUUCCCGGUGUAGCAGUGAAAUGCGUAGAGAUCGGGAGGAACAUCAGUUGCGAAGGCGGCUCUCUGGACCAGCACUGACACUGAGGCACGAAAGCGUGGGGAGCAAACAGAAUUAGAUACCCUGGUAGUC